GAUGAACGCUGGCGGCGUGCCUAACACAUGCAAGUCGAGCGUGAACCUUCCAAGCAAAACUUCGGUCGAGCGAGGAGGGGGAAAGCGGCGGACGGGUGAGUAACGCGUAGGCAACCUGCCCCGUACAGGGGGAUAGCCUCGGGAAACCGGGAUUAAGACCCCAUAAUACCGCGAGUCCACAUGGAGUGGCGGUCAAAGAUUUAUCGGUAUGGGAUGGGCCUGCGUCUGAUUAGCUGGUUGGUAGGGUAACGGCCUACCAAGGCGACGAUCAGUAGCCGACCUGAGAGGGUAAUCGGCCACAUUGGAACUGAGACACGGUCCAAACUCCUACGGGAGGCAGCAGUGGGGAAUAUUGCACAAUGGGCGAAAGCCUGAUGCAGCAACGCCGCGUGAGCGAGGAAGGCCUUUGGGUCGUAAAGCUCUGUCGAGAAGGAAGAUAAUGACGGUACUUCUCGAGGAAGCCCCGGCUAACUACGUG
rnacentral:rRNA from 1 species